CUGUGGCUUGAAAUUGUAAUUUAGUUAUGAUGAGUGACAUAUCCUAGAGCCACACCACCUUCUGUGGAGAGCCAUACAGGCUUCAGGAAAACAGUUUCACUGUGGUACUCGGGGGUUUGUGCUCAGCUCCGCCUCCAGCCCCCACCACUGUGUCUGUCACCUCACAGAAAUACACAGCAGAGUCACUCCCAAGGACGGAUGGUUUCUUCAGGUGGAAAGAGGUUUGGCUCUUAUUAAAUUCAGCCUCAAAACCGUAGUUGCCUUUGACCAGGUUGGCCCCUGUGAUGUAUUUCAGAAGGAACCGGAGACCUUGGUUGCGAUGUUGGACAUACCAAAAGAGAUACGGGCUUCCAGAAACCGAAUAGUUGCAUUUCACAGUCACUGGAUCCCCUUCGGCAACAGUGACCUGAUCUGGCUGAGACACUGACUGAGCUCUCAGCCCACCUGUAAAUGAAUCCACACUCCAUCAGUGAAGCUGCUGUAAAGCAUCGCCUAAGAGGAGUGUUAGCCUUGCAUCUUUGAGGGCCCUGGCAAUCACCUCAAGAGGAUAUCUGGAACAAAGUUUAAGGAAAAGGAUAUUUUAAACUUUUUGUGGGCAGAUUUAAGGGAAACAUGGAAGAGAAGGUGAAGCACCCAGGGCCUAGCAACAGCCAGAAGACUGAACCACUUGUAGGCCUGAAGGGAAGGAGAAGGAAGAAAUUACCGUGACCUGGGGACACCUGCGAAUGAGGGCAACUACGACCCAGCAGGACCUAUGGGCUGGAGUACAAGGAAGAAGAUGUGGCCCACAGCAAUGUCAAGGAGCUUCAGUCCGAGAUCCCAGUCUUAGGUCUCUCAUGGAACCAGUGGCAGACCCAUACCCCUCUGAGGCAAUCCUCACAUAUUGAAGAGCCGAGAUACCGCCCCCAAGAAAAGUUUACCACUAGUGCCGACACAGCCAGCAGCUGACAGAGCAGACCAAUCCAGAGAAAGGCUUCACACGGCUCCAUGCCACCGGCAUUGGCCUGUCAGCGUCCCUGCUGAGAAGACCUGGAACCCCAAACCAGGAGUCUCGGAGCGUGUCCUGGGAUGUGAAGGUACCAGAAGAAGGUGUAAGCAUUGGAUAUAGAGUGAUUGCAGGAGAUUUCCACCACAGCGCCCUCCGGAGAAGCCAUGCCAGGAGGCUGAAACACUUGGUCCUUGCUCUCUGCAACUGCAGGAAAUAAAGAAGGGUUGUGAUUUUUGUGCUGCUAUCGGGCUUGCUGAUUGCCCCUGUGGCGCAGUGAGUAUUAACAAAGCUGGUUUUUCUGUUUUCUUUUUUAAGCGAACCCAAAUUGGGGCACCUGGGUGGCUCAGUCGGUUAAGUGUCUGACUCUUGGUUUCAGCUCAGGUCAUGAUCUCACGGUUUCAUGAGUUCAAGCUCCACAUCGAGCUCU